rnacentral:rRNA from 1 species
AGGAUAAACGCUGGCGGCGUGCCUAACACAUGCAAGUCGAACGUCUCUUCUUUCGGGAAGAGGAGUGGCGGACGGGUGAGGAACACGUGGGAACCUGCCCUCCAGUGAGGAAUACCGGCGAGAAAUCGCCGACAAGACCGCAUAGCCCUCUCUGGUGAGAGCCAGAGAAGGAAAGCUUCGCAAGAGGCGCUGGAGGAGGGGCCUGCGUCCGAUUAGCUAGUUGGUGGGGUGAUGGCCUACCAAGGCGACGACGGGUAG